CAGCCGCCGCGGUAAAACCGAGGGUGCAAGCGUUAAUCGGAAUUACUGGGCGUAAAGCGCGCGUAGGUGGUUCGCCAAGUUGGAUGUGAAAUCCCCGGGCUCAACCUGGGAACUGCAUCCAAAACUGGCGAGCUAGAGUAUGGUAGAGGGUGGUGGAAUUUCCUGUGUAGCGGUGAAAUGCGUAGAUAUAGGAAGGAACAUCAGUGGCGAAGGCGACCACCUGGACUGAUACUGACACUGAGGUGCGAAAGCGUGGGGAGCAAACAGGAUUAGAUACCCGCGUAGUCCCUGUCUCUUAUAC
rnacentral:rRNA from 1 species